CCUACGGGAGGCAGCAGUGGGGAAUCUUAGACAAUGGGCGCAAGCCUGAUCUAGCCAUGCCGCGUGAGCGAUGAAGGCCUUAGGGUUGUAAAGCUCUUUCGUGGGGGAAGAUAAUGACGGUACCCCAAGAAGAAGCCCCGGCUAACUCCGUGCCAGCAGCCGCGGUAAUACGGAGGGGGCUANCGUUAUUCGGAAUUACUGGGCGUAAAGCGCACGUAGGCGGAUUGGAAAGUCAGAGGUGAAAUCCCCAGGGGCUCAACCUUGGGAACUGCCUUUGAAAACUCCCCAGUCUUGAGGUCGAGAGAGGUGAGUGGAAUUCCCGAGUGUAGAGGUGAAAUUCGUAGAUAUUCCGGAGGAACACCAGUGGCGAAGGCGGCUC
rnacentral:rRNA from 1 species